GAGAGGCCCUUCGAUGGUCCCGAAGCUUCGGGGGAGCAGCCAUCAAACUGCCUUACGCUGCAUCUGGCGGAAACUCCGGUGUGGUUAACGGUUAAGGAAAAACGGGGACAAAGAUCCCUGUAGGU
rfam:Aquiflexum balticum DSM 16537 genome assembly, chromosome: I